AAGCUUUACAGGGAACAAUCUGAAUCAAAUGAAAACUACAGUCAGAGAGAGAGAGAGUGAGAAGGGUAGUGGGAGAGAUCUGCUGCCAUUUCUACCCAAGAGGACAAGAACUCUGCAGAGUUUCAGUUUUCCAAGUCUCACAGGUAUAGGAGAGUGUAAGAAAGCAGCACAUGGCUGGCCGAUUUAUCUGAAAAAAUUGCUGUCUCCUGAAAAGACUUUCAGAACUAACAAGGCAUUGUUGGUGAAUUGCUGUCCCCAAAGAGACUUCAGGUGUAUUUUGAAGGCUGUCUUCAAAGAAUUGCUGUCAGGGCAUCGUGUGAAUUGUGAAGGGAAGGAACGCCAUAGCUGACUACCUCCUGUGACCAAUAAAGCUCUGUG
rnacentral:lncRNA from 1 species